CCGCCUCCAUCGCAGCCAGAAGCAAGAAGCUGUCUUCCCGCCCCCGCGUGCCUACAAUCAGCCCCAGUCUCCCUGGGAAACCGACGAGCGCACCUGAGCUGGGUUCUGAGCUCCAGCGUUUUGGGGCUAGAAGUUGCGGACUAGUAGCUGAGGCGGCACGGGAGUGUAGGCGCGCGGGGUCGUUGCCGGGGGCACAGAGUGAGAACAAGCAAGGGAGCCCUGCUGAAUUGCAGCUUAGGAAGCCCUGAAUCCUGGAGACGGAGUUUUGCUCUUGUUGCCCAGGCUGGAGUCCAAUGAUGCGAUCUCGGCUCACCGCAACCUCCGCCUUCAGGGUUCAAGCAAUUCUCCUGCCUCAGCCUCCCGAGUAGCUGGGAUUACAGGCAUGUACCACCACGCGCGGCUAAUUUUGUAUUUUUAGUAGAGACAGGGUUUCUCCAUGUUGGUCAGGGUGGUCUCGAACUCCCAAUUUCAGGUGAUCCACCCACCUUGGCCUCCCAAAGUGCUGGGAAUUGCAGGUGUGAGCCACCGCUCCUGGCCUAAGAAAAUUUUUAAGAAAGAAAUUUUCCACAUUGGGUGGAAGACAUGGCUGAUUACAUACUCACAUGUAGGUACAUAGACUUUUUUUUUAAUAUAAGGUGUUUUCUAUACCAACAUGUAUUGCUGUUAUAUUGGGGAAAUAUAAUAAAUUAAUUUCAGAAGUGGUUACCGACUGACAAAUGGAGUAUUCACCUAAUUCAAAAUGCAACCUGUGACCUAUGUUAAGAAGCUGUAAAAGGUGAUGUGAGAAGGUGGCUUUUCUUGAAAUUAUGUUGCUUCUACAAACAAGUAUAACCAAUAUUUGUGACGACUUCAUAGGAUCUUCUUACCUCAUUUCCAACAGACAACAAAAUACCUACCAAAACAACAACAAAACACCAAGCUCUGGUCCUUCACUGAGGGAAGUUUACAAACUCACAGACCUAGUGCCUAUUCAAUUUAUUGUUAUCUAUUCAAAUCUAACCUAUCUUCAAUUAUAUGUUCCACUCAAAAGAAAGGAAAAGAGCUGCUAAUAAAACUAUGACAAUAUGUUAUGUCAUAUCGAAUUUUUACUUUAUACUUAGUGCUUUUAGACACUUAUACAUAGAUUUGCUUAGUACUGUGUGUAUGUAGGAAAGGAAAAUAUAAGCAAAAUGAAUUUACCAAAGUCCCGAACAUUGAGCCUGAUUCUUCUGAAUACCUUUUCAUGAAAAGCAUUCAUGUGUGUUUUUCCACACAAUAUUGUUGAUAGUGCACCAUUUCUUAAAAGGAUGUUCCAAUCUUGUUUCUGGGAUUUGCCUCCUAGACAAUGACACUCAUUCUGCAGUUGUGAUGCUGGCACUAUCCCAUUUGACUAAACACAUAGUUUUCUUGUUCAACUGAAUUGUAUGUCACUACAAGCUAUGCAGCUUCUCUAUUAAUGGCCAGGAGAAAGUUUCUCACAAAUGGUAGUUUCAUGCCUUAACCAUAGUCCUGCAUGAUACAUGAAUUGGUUAUAUCAACCUCUCUUUGCUUUAGAAUUUCUUUCACCUAAUCUGUCAUAUCUGGUAAUUUCUCCUGCCUUCAACUAUGUUUCUUGGCAUAUGGCUUUGACACAACAGGACUAAAUUUCAUAGAAUUUAGUAGAAAUGAUAACAAUUCAUUUAUGCCCAUGUUCAAAAAUAGGCAAUGCCAACUAUAUCAUCACUAUCACCUGGCCACUGGAUGUUUAUUUGAUAGUAAGACACAUCCCAGUUUCAAAGAAAUUAAAAUGUGGUACCAAAUUAUUCUUAAAAUUGAAGAAAUACAGUAUGUCAAACUAUUUGUAAUGAUAUUUUCCGCUGGUAUAUUCCAAUGGUAUAUUGAACUAUUAGAAUAUUCAAUGGUACAACGCAAGAUAUAUAUGGCUACAUUUACUAAACAAAUUCACAUUGGUCACAAAUUUUGUGUCCCAAGCACAAUAAUUUGGCUAAUUUUUAAAUGCAAAUUGUUAGCUAGUCUUAUUACAAUAUAUGUCCAAUUUUCCAGUAUUUCCCAUCCCGUGUACCUUUUGUUUAUUUAUACAUUCAACAACUAUUUAUUGGGUGCAUUCAAGUGCCAAGCAUUAAGACAAACAUUCCUGAACCUUACAGUUUGGCUCAU
ensembl:lncRNA ARHGEF26-AS1 ARHGEF26 antisense RNA 1